GAUGUCACUAUGUUUUUCUGCUUUGAAGUGCGCACACAGUCAUUCAGUCAACAAGCCGUUUAACUGAGUGGUGGGGUGGGAAGCAGGAGUAGCUCCUGUGUCCACAGACAAAGCACUCCACCUGUUGGAACUGGCUUUUGCAUUAAGAAACUAGACUUGAAAUGUUCAUAAUGCCGAGUUCUUGGACAAACGAGAUGAAAUCUUUCUGUUAACAGGUAGACGGCCUUAGUGAGAUGUUCCUGCCAAGGUUCUUGGAUGUGGAUGGCAGCAGGUCUUUCUAGUUUGCCUCUUGGACAUCCUAAAACAAGACAUGACGCUCACUUUCUGAGAAUAUCAAUUUGUUUGAUGCCCAUGAGCUACAGAGCCCAAAGUCCACUGUGUGGAGCUGUACACAGACAGACACCUACGAUGAAGGGCAAUGAACGCAAGCCACAGAAUCUUGCACAAGAUAGUAGGAAAGAGCAAACAAGGAGCCCUGCCAACACAGAAGUGUCCGAGGAAGACUUCUAGGAGGAGGUGGGGCUGUGGCUGGUUUCAUAGGCUGAAUAAAUACCAUGGGGGGAAGGACCAUCCUGGGCAAAGUCAUGGAAGGUUGGUAUGGUUGCUCAUGACUGAGGAGUAAGCUGCAAAACCAUCAAGGGAAUUUGUUGCUGCCCAGGUCCUUCUUGCCCACCUGGCUGAACUGAUUCUUCUGAGAAGAGCACAGGGGACUUAACAGCAGACCAGGACUUAAUUUAAUGAUGAUUGUCACCCUGCACUGCCCCUCCUGAGAUGCCCAUUAGAUGCAUGUUCUUUGAUAUGGGGAUGGGCCUCACGGCUGGUUCUAAGUCAAGCUUUUCGCCUUUUGUUAAGGAAAUGGAGCCUAAGUGGGGGUCAGUCUUGAUGAACAAGCAUCAUUUUCUCAAAUACCCUAGCAACAACCCUAAACUUCAGUUGUGGCACAAGAUUUUCUUUCCUGUAGUUUCUAGCAGACCUGUGCUCUGCUUAUCUGAUGGAGGUGGGUCUUGUAUCUUAUCUGUUGCUUUCAUUGGUUAAUAAUAAAGAAACUGCCUCGGCCCUCAUAGGACAGAAAAUUAGGUAGGUGGAGUAAACAGAAGAGAAUGCUGGGAAAAAGAAGCUGAAUCAGGGAGUCGCCAUGGUUCUCCCACUCCA